rnacentral:tRNA from 1 species
UAGCUCAGUUGGUAGAGCAUGAGACUCUUAAUCUCAGGGUCAUGGGUUCAAGCAACACAU